UCNUGGGAUAACACUGACGUUCAUGCCCGAAAGCGUGGGUAGCAAACAGGAUUAGAUACCCUGGUAGUCCACGCCCUAAACGAUGUCGAUUAGCUGUUGGGCAGCAUGACUGCUUAGUAGCGAAGCUAACGCGUGAAAUCGACCGCCUGGGGAGUACGGUCGCAAGAUUAAAACUCAAAGGAAUUGACGGGGACCCGCACAAGCGGUGGAUGAUGUGGAUUAAUUCGAUGCAACGCGAAGAACCUUACCUGGUCUUGACAUGUACGGAACCCUCCAGAGACGGAGGGGUGCCUUCGGGAGCCGUAACACAGGUGCUGCAUGGCUGUCGUCAGCUCGUGUCGUGAGAUGUUGGGUUAAGUCCCGCAACGAGCGCAACCCUUGUCAUUAGUUGCCAUCAUUAAGUUGGGCACUCUAAUGAGACUGCCGGUGACAAGCCGGAGGAAGGUGGGGAUGACGUCAAGUCCUCAUGGCCCUUAUGACCAGGGCUUCACACGUCAUACAAUGGUCGGUACAGAGGGUAGCCAAGCCGCGAGGUGGAGCCAAUCUCACAAAACCGAUCGUAGUCCGGAUUGCACUCUGCAACUCGAGUGCAUGAAGUCGGAAUCGC
rnacentral:rRNA from 1 species